UGCUGCCAAUGAUGUUGACGAUUCACUUAACCUACAUUGUUUGAUGUUCAGUGAGAAGACUAGUCAAUUCUGAGGCACCA